rnacentral:sRNA from 1 species
AAUACUAUUGUUAUUGUCGUCCCGAUGCCGUCCGCGUAUCCACAAAUUUUAAAUAUGCCGUUUUUCGUCCCCGUCCCCGUACCCGUCUCGGUGCAGCAUAACCAGUUCAAAAACAUCACUAUU